UCGUCGAUCUGCUGCGGGCAGAUAAAAUGGAUAUGCGAAUCAAUCCCCCCCGCCGUAAUGAUGCUGCCUUCACCAGCAAUCACAUCGGUGCCGGGGCCAACAAUGAUAUCCACAUUCGGUUGCACAUCUGGGUUACCCGCCUUGCCAAUGGCCGCAAUUCGCCCGUUCUUAAUACCGAUAUCCGCUUUAACGAUCCCCCAGUAGUCGAGGAUCAAGGCAUUGGUAAUGACCAGGUCCAUAACCUUCGCCGAAGGCAGCUGGGAUUGGCCCAUGCCAUCACGA
rfam:Alcanivorax borkumensis SK2, complete genome